rnacentral:rRNA from 1 species
GAUGAACGCUAGCGGCAGGCUUAACACAUGCAAGUCGAGGGGUAGAGGAAGCUUGCUUCCUUGAGACCGGCGCACGGGUGCGUAACGCGUAUACAAUCUACCUUUUACAGAGGGAUAGCCCCAGAGAAAUUUGGAUUAAUACCUCAUAGUAUUUUCGGAUCGCAUGAUUUGAUUAUUAAAGUUCCAACGGUAAAGAUGAGUAUGCGUCCCAUUAGCUAGAUGGUAAGGUAACGGCUUACCAUGGCAAUGAUGGGUAGGGUCCUGAGAGGGAGAUCCCCCCACACUGGUACUGAGACACGGACCA